rnacentral:lncRNA from 1 species
AUGUAUGCAGGUGGUGUUACCCUCGUAUGGAAGACCCUAAAGGGUGUAAUAUAUAACACAAAGAAACAGCCCUUAGAGAAGAAACUGAAAAUGCAUGUGCAGGAAUCUCAGUGGACCAAGGUCACCCAGCAGCAGUUUUCUGUGCUAAUGAAUGUCCAGAGGAAACGGCCACCUCUUUGA